UCGAGCUGUAUGCAGGGAAACUUGCACGUACAGUUCUUCGGGGGCCCUGCUACCGAAAGGCAGUGGGGCUACCCAAU
rnacentral:ncRNA from 1 species